rnacentral:rRNA from 1 species
CGCGUGAGUAACCUGCCUUGGAGUGGGGAAUAACACAGUGAAAACUGUGCUAAUACCGCAUAAUGCAUUUGGGUCGCAUGAUUCUGAAUGCCAAAGAUUUAUCGCUCUGAGAUGGACUCGCGUCUGGUUAGCUAGUUGGCGGGGUAACGGCCCACCAAGGCGACGAUCAGUAGCCGGACUGAGAGGUUGGCCGGCCACAUUGGGACUGAGACACGGCCCAG